CACCAAUUCAUUUGUAAGUCGCUCUGGAUAAGAGCGUCUGCUAAAUUACGUAAA
rfam:Salmo salar isolate Sally breed double haploid chromosome ssa09, whole genome shotgun sequence.